CCCAGAUCCACAGUGGUGUACUCUCUUGCUGGUGGGGCAGUCGGCUACAGUUCUUUAUCUUAUCAGCUCCUACAAACACUGCAUUUCCCUGGUAAGAUCUCGGCACUUGAAGGUGAAAGGCCUUCCUGCCCUGGAGUUUGAUGGGAGCUGAGUUAUCAAAAGAGAAGUCUUCCUUACAGAUUGGUGUACUUCUUAUCAGGUCUAAGGGCAUCGAGGUGAGCAGAGAAGAUGGACGGCCGCUUUCUCUAGCCGCUGCCUCUGUGAGUUUAGCAUUACCAUUGUGCCUUUAAUCCUCUCUAUUGAAACAAUGGAUGCAGUGUCUAUCUACCGACUGGACCUUGCCAGAUGCACAUUUAAAGUUGGCUCUGCUUGUUCAUCUGACUGUGGGACCAGUUUGCAUUGUGUGCCAAGCUUCCCGCUGAGUGCUGGGACACAGUGAUGACUAAGUCAAACAAGCUCCAGGUGCUCCCAGUGAGGAGGAGACCAGUGAACAGGCAGAGGGUGGACUCAGCGCCCGCCGCCACUGAGUGCAGGGAGAGAUUUCUAUGGUCAACAGCUAAUUCUCACUCAUCAUCGAGGUAGAUUCCUAGGACUGAAGUACGCACCGCUUCCAUACCACUGUGGAAAUCAUUGACCCACGCCUGAUUGCAUUGAUGGCCCAGCCCCAGAACAACUGCUCUCCAAGAUUCUAAUGUAGACUGAAGACCAGAAACUCUCCAGAAAUCCUCUGCAACUCCAGCACUGGACUGGGACUACUGAGACAUACAACCUGGGCCUUAAAGCUGGGAAGUGCGCUACUGGAACUAAAACCCAGGAACAAACAUUUUUGCCUUAAAGAAGAGAAAUUCUGGCUUCAGAGAAGACCCAGUCAAUGAAGUGCUAAGCAUGAGUCAUGAGGACUGAAGUUCAAUCCUCCAGAGCCCAUGGAGGUGGGGGAUGAGGGGGCUUGGCAUGGGCUGGUGAGAGGGCUUAGUGGAGAAAGGCGCUUGCCACUAAGCCUGACUAAAACCUGAGUUCAAUCUUUUAAUUAGACUGAGCAGAAAGCCUGUUUGCAUGACUCCAGCAUUGGGACAGCUCACCAUGUGGCCCCGCUCUUUACAUGGCUGCUGUAGAUCCAAACUUAUGUCCUCAUGCGUUUGUGGCAAAUACUUUACUGUCUGAGUCAUCUUCCCAACCCCAGCAGAGUAUUUUUAUCUACUAGAUGUUUCUGUGUCUAUUUUUGAACAUACAGUGGGGAGUUUUGUGGAUGCUACCAGAAAUAAGGUAGAAAUAAAGAAACAUCUGUAUCUCCCAGUACGCAAAAUCCACAAGAAAAAUAAUUUACAUAUUUCAGCAUAAGCAAAGAAUGUCCGGUGGAGCACCCUAAACAACACCACAGUAUUAGGAAAUUGGGAAAAAUCGGAGGAGAGCACUGUCAGGAAAGACCCAUGAAUCCACAUCAAAGACCUCAGGAUUCAGACUCAUGGGAUGCCAGACAAUUGUAAAGGUCACUUAGUGUAGGCUGGGGGCGUAGCUCAGGGCAUCAGGCAAGGGUGGCAAGGAAGUUUCACUGUGGAGCCAUCUUGCUGGCCUGUAGGGUCUUUUGAGAUAAAAAUACCUACAGCUCUUUAAAAAGCAAUCAAGAUGUCCAUGAGACUAUGAGCCAUGCUGCAGCCUGCUUAAAAUAGAGGAGGUGUGAUGGCCUAUCACAGAAAACAUGAAUUUGAAACAGUCCAGUCAUAAUCUAUUGAAUUUUAUGUGUAAGCUAGGCAAUCACAUUAGGUAAUACUAAACAAUAUACAUGAAAACUGUGAGGUUAGUUUAUAUUAUUUCAUAUUUGAGUAGUGCCAGUAUUUCAUGAAUCAAAAUGAACAAUAUCAAAAUGAAUAUUAAAACAGACAUCUUGUGAGGUUGAAGAAAUAAUUCAGAGGUUAAAAGUACUUGCUGCUCUUGUAGAGGACCCCAGUUUUUAUUCCCAGAUCCUAGGAAUCUUACACUAUUUUUCUGGCCUUCAAGGGCACUCAGGUGUAUGUGUAUAUAUGUAUUCACACACAGAAGCACAUAACGUGCACAUAAAUA
ensembl:lncRNA